CGGACGACAGCCGCCGGCCCGAGGGUUGCGCACUUCUUCGGCACACACACCGCCGACGGCUUCGCCAAGGUACGUUCAUGUGCGCCGCCGCAGCCGAGAUUACAUGGAACGUCGGCCCGACGCACACCCUGCUCCACCAACCUCACCGCAUCUGGCCUCUGCCGACCCCUCCAUCCCUCCUGAUUUGCAAUUCAGGCAUAGAGGGAGAUCAACAAGCUUCCAAUAUAGUGAAUCGAAGCACCUCAGACUGGCAGCACUAUGUCUUGUUGAAACAUUCAUGCGAUUUUCUGUGAUUUAACCAUGCUUUCUUACACAAUUUGAGAUUUAAUGUUGAAGCUGGUACUCACAGGGUCAUAUUUACACCAGUAUGCAGAUGUGGCUUGAUCAUGUGGAAGCAUGUGACCAGGAAGGAUUGCAUCUGAAUAAAUUCACACGACAGCAACUGUAUUAAUCAGGUUAGUGUACUGUUAGUGUCAUGUUUGUCCAUUCUUCAUUGUGUGAUGUGAACCUCAAUUGAUAUCUGUAUUAUACUCAACUGAACAGUCAGGUGUUAAGCUCUGAAACUUGUUCAAACUUUGAGAGGGGUGUUUAUUUUUACCUAAUCAGCAAUUGUAACGGUAGCCUGAUAGGUCACUUGCUGAAAUUCUAUAGUAUGUCACUGUUAAAGGUCACAAACAGACAGAACCUUCCACUACUAACCUACUAGGUCAUGAGCUGCUUAAGUUAAUAGGACACACAAUGACUGAACCUUCAUAGUAGCUAGUCCCCAAUCAAUAUCACAUUAACUGGAUUCAGACUCAUGGGACUGUGUCUUGUUUGUUAUUAACUGGAUUCUUGAUAGUUUUAUCAUUUCAUUUGACUCACCCGAUUUUAAGGUCUCAAAGUAUAAUAGCUGCACCGUUUCUUCUGUUUCGUCUAAACCAGAUCCUACUUUGCUUCAUUUAGUCCUCAGUGUAGGUUUAACUCAUCUAAGGCUUCCUUCUGUAAUUAACAGCUGUUUGUGCUUGUGGAGCUGGUGUCCCCAAUUUUGGAAAGUAUGUACUUAUUAUUUCCAUUCAUAAACUUGCAAUCCUAAAUUUCCAGGUGGGACCAUUAUAAUAGAAAUAUUGUUGUUUCCUUGAUAAUCCAUGUUUGUUGUUGUUCUAUAGCCAAUGAAUGAUAAGAUCAAGCAAGCUAUGGUUGGAUCACUAUCUGGAAUUGUUUUCUCGACACGACUGAAUUUGUUUAUUUUAUUUUCCAAGUGUUCAUUAUUAUCGCACUAAAUACCAGGAAAACACACACCAAAUAACCCAUGUUAACUUGAUUGCUUUUUCAGCUGUACUAUGCUCGUGAAUGACUACACAGUUGAGUUAUAUCUGAUUGCCUUUUAUGUUUGUCACUAUGUUAUUUGCGCCUAUUCAACACUGGAUGUGGUAUAAAAUACAAAUAGGCACAUAUCCAUGGAUGAACUGCUGGAAACUUAGAACCUUAUUUUCCUUUUCUUUGUAUAGUAAUUUUGUAAUAGCAGAAGUCUUGCUUGCUCGUUCAGAAGAGUAAAACACCAAUUUGUCAAAAUAUAUUCCACCUUAACCUGUCGAAGGCAUACCAUCCUGUCGCAAUAAUGUUUCAGCUUUUAAUACGUCCAAGGCACUGUCUAGACUAUGAACACUUUCCUUUCCGGGACUGCUUAGAAUAAGGAAAAUGUUUGUACGCGGGACUGCGGGACGUUGAUCGUAGGAAAUCGUAUGGCAGGAGCACUUGCUGGCCCCACCUUAUCUCUUUGUUGUCCCCUCCCUUAGAGAAAGUCUUAACCAAGCAUUGCUUAAAAAGAGAAAUAACUGCAACCAUUGAUAGAAAAGCUUCGAUCGUAAUUGAGAAAAGCUCCAACCAUUAAUAGAGAAAACUACAACCAGACACUGUGCAAUCAGAAAAGUUGCAACCGUGAUAGAGAAUGUUUCAAUCAUAUGUGUGGAAAGUUUCAACCGGCGAGGGGAAAAGCUACGACUGGCAACGAGGCAAAACUUUUUGCUGCAACCGUAUCGUUGUUUUGCUACUACCGGUGACUUUUCUCGCCUAAUCCAUGGGAGCAGAGCUGUGCCCCGCGAUGACGGCGACAUUUUUUGUUUUGCUGCAACUGUCGAUGUUUUUUGCUACUAUAGACGAAGUAUUUUGCUACAUCCAUUCAAUGUUGUUUUUUACUUGUGGUUGUCGACCGCGCAAUUUGUGCAGCGAGCGUUGACGACGGGCCGCGGCGGCAGCGGCGCUACAUCCAUGGAGCAUCAAUGACAGGACUCCAAAUUCAUGGGUUCGAGCUGUCGAUAUCAAAAACCGCAGAGUGCAAAGUGUGGUCAAUUCUGGUCCUCUACCCAAAGGAUUGCCAUGUGUGGACGCAACCUAUUGCACUUGCAGCAUAACCAAGUGUACCAGUUAACAGUCCAGCUGGUAAUUACUGAAUGUACCAGCUAGCAGUCCAUCACAUAUGCCUUCUUCUCAGAUGUUUAAAUUGCUUUGAGUAGGUACUGACUAGAAUAUUACAGUCUUUAAU
rnacentral:lncRNA from 1 species